rnacentral:lncRNA from 1 species
UUUUAAGGGUUUUGAAUAUUCUUGCUAUAGGUUCGAUAAUAGAUAAAACUGAAGGGCUCGUUUGGUUCAUCUAUUUUAGAGUCUGGAAUUGAAAUGGGAUUCACUAAUUCUAGUAGUUGUUAUUUUUUUUAAUAAUAAUUGAAUUAGAAUUUUUAUUUCACUCCGGAACGGAAAUAACUUAAUCUGUUUAUGAUUCAAUUCGGCCUAUUCUAAAGUAAACCACACAAAACUCUCUCUCAUAGACCCCUACUCCCUUUCCUUAAUUAAAAGGGCAAUUGCUUAUAUAUUCCUGAAAAGUUUCUGACUUUUCGAUUUACCCCUCUUAGAAGGCUAAUAUUGAAAAUACCUUUUCUACGUUUCAACAUAUUUCUAAUAUACCCUUAGAGUGAAAAUUUAUUAAUGAACUCUGUUAUUUCUGUAAAAUUACUAUUUUGCCCUUUCAAAUAUACCCUUCCACCAUCACUGACUUUCUUAUUUGUCCUUAAAGUUAGGGGCAGAAAAAGUAUUUUGACUUUUGGUCUUUUCCAAUAUGGGUCCGUCACUAACAUUUCUUAUUUGCCCUUAAGUUAAGGGCAAAAUUGAAAUUUUAAUUUUUUUAAACUGUGAUAGAUAUUUAACUCACGUUUAACCCAAGUUAACAUAACAGGAGAUAACUGCGGGAGUAUUUUGCAAUAACGGUAGAUUAUAUGAAGGGUAUUUUAGAAAGAAAAAAAAAAAAGGUAAAUUAAAUAUUUUCAAACGUAUGAGGAGUAUAUAGGCAAUUAUCCCUUAAUUAAAAUCCUCUCUUAAACUUCUAAGUAUUUCAAUAUUUCAUUUUGAUUUUCAUUCUAAUAAUGAACCAAAUGUUUUUAAAUAAUUCGUCAAUCUAUUUUUCAUUUCGAUGCAAUCCAAUUUCAUUCUCCAGUACGAU